CCUACGGGGGACAGCAGUAGGGAAUUUUCGUCAAUGGGCGCAAGCCUGAACGAGCAAUGCCGCGUGAACGAGGAAGGUCUUCGGAUCGUAAAGUUCUGUUGAAGGGGAAAAAGAGCGGAGAGAGGAAAUGGUCUCCGAUUGAUAUUACCCUUCGAGGAAGUCACGGCUAACUACGUGCCAGCAGCCGCGGUAAUACGUAGGUGGCGAGCGUUAUCCGGAAUGAUUGGGCGUAAAGGGUGCGUAGGCGGCCUGCUAAGUCUGGAGUGAAAGGUACCGGAUCAACCGGUACAGGCUCUGGAAAAUGGCGGGCUAGAGAGCAGGAGAGGGCGGUGGAACUCCAUGUGUAGCGGUAAAAUGCGUAGAUAUAUGGAAGAACACCAGUGGCGAAGGCGGCCGCCUGGCCUGUUACUGACGCUGAGGCACGAAAGCGUGGGGAGCAAAUAGGAUUAGAUACCCCAGUAGUC
rnacentral:rRNA from 1 species